UACGUAGGGUGCAAGCGUUAAUCGGAAUUACUGGGCGUAAAGCGUGCGCAGGCGGCUUUGCAAGACAGAUGUGAAAUCCCCGGGCUUAACCUGGGAACUGCAUUUGUGACUGCACAGCUGGAGUGCGGCAGAGGGGGAUGGAAUUCCGCGUGUAGCAGUGAAAUGCGUAGAUAUGCGGAGGAACACCGAUGGCGAAGGCAAUCCCCUGGGCCUGCACUGACGCUCAUGCACGAAAGCGUGGGGAGCAAACAGG
rnacentral:rRNA from 1 species